UCCCUGGUGGCUCAGACAGUAAAGAAUCGGCCUGCAAUGCAGGAGACCCAGGUUCAAUCCCUGGGUAGGGAA
rnacentral:tRNA from 1 species